ensembl:lincRNA
CACAGUCAGAGGCUUGGAAAAAGGAGAGGAGGAAAAUCCUCCCUUACCUUGGCCCAUCAAAGUAUGCGGGCAGAAUAAAUUGUUAACUCCAACAACCGGCAAAUAUACUGAGACCCGAAGUUUUCCCACUGAAAAGAAGAAAAAUAUUGCUGCACUUGCUAUUAUUGAAAUAUGCCCUAUUAUAAAUAAUUUCUUGUCCUAAAUUCUCAUCAUAAGGCACAAAUAACAUUCACCUGGAAAAUGCAAAGAACCACAUAACUGACGCACAAGGCAGAUAAACUGAAAUGAAAAUAAACAAUUUACAAAUUUGUACAUCAG